rnacentral:rRNA from 1 species
GGAAUAUUGGACAAUGGGGGCAACCCUGAUCCAGCGACGCCGCGUGGGUGAUGAAGGCCUUCGGGUUGUAAAGCCCUUUCACCGGGGACGAUGAUGACGGUACCCGGAGAAGAAGCACCGGCUACCUCCGUGCCAGCAGCCGCGGUAAGACGGAGGGUGCUAGCGUUGUUCGGAAUUACUGGGCGUAAAGCGCACGUAGGCGGACCGGAAAGUCAGAGGUGAAAUCCCAGGGCUCAACCUUGGAACUGCCUUUGAAACUCCUGGUCUUGAGGUCGAGAGAGGUGAGUGGAAUUCCGAGUGUAGAGGUGAAAUUCGUAGAUAUUCGGAGGAACACCAGUGGCGAAGGCGGCUCACUGGCUCGAUACUGACGCUGAGGUGCGAAAGCGUGGGGAGCAAAC